UUAGAUUGAAGGAGCUUGCUCCUGAUUGAUAAACAUUUGAGUGAGUGGCGGACGGGUGAGUAACACGUGGGUAACCUGCCCUAAAGUGGGGGAUAACAUUUGGAAACAGAUGCUAAUACCGCAUAAAACCUAACACCGCAUGGUGUAGGGUUGAAAGAUGGUUUCGGCUAUCACUUUAGGAUGGACCCGCGGUGCAUUAGUUAGUUGGUGAGGUAAAGGCUCACCAAGACCGUGAUGCAUAGCCGACCUGAGAGGGCAAUCGGCCACACUGGGACUGAGACACGGCCCAGACUCCUACGGGAGGCAGCAGUAGGGAAUCUUCCACAAUGGACGAAAGUCUGAUGGAGCAACGCCGCGUGAGUGAAGAAGGUUUUCGGAUCGUAAAACUCUGUUGUUGGAGAAGAAUGUAUCUGAUAGUAACUGAUCAGGUGGUGACGGUAUCCAACCAGAAAGCCACGGCUAACUACGUGCCAGCAGCCGCGGUAAUACGUAGGUGGCAAGCGUUGUCCGGAUUUAUUGGGCGUAAAGCGAGCGCAGGCGGUUUCUUAAGUCUGAUGUGAAAGCCUUCGGCUCAACCGAAGAAGUGCAUCGGAAACUGGGAAACUUGAGUGCAGAAGAGGACAGUGGACUCCAUGUGUAGCGGUGAAUGCGUAGAUAUAUGGAAGAACACCAGUGGCGAAGGCG
rnacentral:rRNA from 1 species